rnacentral:piRNA from 1 species
AUCCUGAUGAGUUGGAAACCAUUACAAUG